UGUCACAGAGACCUCAUCCCAACACAUGGCA
rnacentral:piRNA from 1 species